rnacentral:lncRNA from 1 species
GAAAUAGGAAAGUAUUUAAUGGUUUCAACAUAAAAUCAAAACACAUAAGUCAUAAAUAGAAUAAUUAUGACUUGCAUAAUUAUGACCAGUAUUGUCAGGUUUUAUGUGUCUGCUGGUAAAACUUUGGAAUAUGAUUUGCAGAAAUCUCAGUUCAGGAGUUUAGCAAAGUUUAUGAAUGUGUACAGCAUUAAAAAGUAUUUAAACCAGGCUAGCCUCGAACUCCUGAACUCAGGUGAUCUGCCUGCCUCGGCCUCACAAAGUGCUGUGAUUACAGGGUGUGAGCCACUGCACCUGGCCGAUAACAGAUGUUUUAAUAGUAAGAUAAAAAGUAAAAUUUCCAGUGUGUCGAAGGAAGAAAAUUACAGCCUAGAAUUUUAUCUUCAUGUACAUUAUUUAAGUGUGAGGGAAUAGUUUCAGUGACAUUAUGUCAUUGAAGACCUUAGAAGAUUUCCCUCGCUAAAGGAGAUAAAGCGACUGGCACAACAUGUAUUUCUCUGAGUAAUUAGAAGUGUUCUUUUCUGGCUGUACUGAAGGGACUUUCAUGAUUUCUUCGUUUUUGUACUCUUAGUUUUAUAAUAUUGCAUAGUAGCUAAGGCCUGGCUGUAGCAGUUAUAAACUGUUCUGCAAGUGCGGGAAGUAAUAGUUAUUCCUAUCUCAAGGAUGUGGGGUUUAAAUGGGUUAGUGCACAAAAGGACAUUUAUUAAAUUUAGUCAUAAUCAUCUCAAGGACAUGGUAAGUGAAAGAGUGUACAUAAAGUACUUAAUGUAAUGUUUGCUACUUAAUGUUCAAUAACUCAAAGAGACCACCACCACUACUACAUUUUACUUUUAUUAGUAAUUAAUAAUAAUUAAUAAUUAGUAAUUCAGUGGUAAUUAGUAUACUACCAAAGAAAGUACUUGAGCAGAAGAGCCAAAAUUCAAACCAUAGAAUCAUUUUACUGUGCUUUUAUUCUACCUCAAACACUAAUCUCCAGGCCUUGGAUAAAGGGAUUAUUUCUCUGAAGGGGAAAGUUAUCCUCUUUUUGCCCAAGUCACACUUGUGUCAUUUCUUAUACUGUAAACAUGUGGUUCCAAUUCUGAGGUAUUUUCCCGGUUUGUAGGACCCAAAAAGAAGUUAGGCUUGAGAAAUUUUAAGUGAAGAGAACAAUUCUAGUUCAGAGUGAUUGGCUCUUCCUAAAAGCUGACAUUUGACUGAAAAUUUUGAGGGGAGGGAAAGAAACAAUACCUUUUACGGCAUGUAAUAGGAAGAAGACCUGGAUUUUAGUUGCUGCUCUGAUGUCCCAACUUGGGUAAGGCAACAUAACAUAAAUGUCAGUUUCUUCAGAUUUGUGAUGAAGCUGAUAAUCCAUGCUCAGCUUCCUUUAUGGGUCUCUUGCCUAUCAAAUAAGGUACAGUAUGUGAAGAUACAUUGCAGAUUAUCUUAUGCAUUGCUUCAGGGGAUGAUUAAACCAUCCUUUAUUAUAGCCAGAGUCUAGUCUAAGGGAAGAAGGUCAUUCUCUAUACCAGUGAAGGCUCCAUCCAAACCAGUGUUUGGGGGCAUAGUCAUAAUUGAAAAAUGAUUGUUUUCCUUAUCUGUAAGACAGGUAAAUGGUAUUAAUCCUCAGGUGGUUGUGAGGAUUAAGUGAUACAUGUAAAAAAAAGAAAGCUUUGGAUAGUACCUAUUAUAAGAAACUCAGUGUUGCUGCAAUGUAUGUAUUAUAAUGGAUUUGAAAUUUGCCCUAACCAAGAGUCACAGACAGAAAAAAGGAAGUUAAUGUAUCUCUUGAUCACUAUCAAGAUGUGGUAUUGAACCUUCAAGAUCCUUUUCAGGGAAUAUGUGAGAUCAAAAUUUUUAUACUGGCACUAUGAUGUUAUUUGCCUUUUCCUCAUAUUCACAAGUGAACAGUGGAGUUUUACAGAAGCUAUAUAAUGUCAUGACAUCACUGAUGGGUAAUAGAAUGUGUGCUUGUAUAUUCCGAAACUUUCAGUUCCAAUUUCUUCGAUCAAUGUAAUCCUCAUAAGUAAAAGUUAUUUGAGGACCUCAGACAUUUUUAAAAAUGUAAAGGGGGUGGGGUCAGGCUCAGUGGCUCAUGCCUGUAAUCCCAGCAUUUUGGAAGGCCGAGGCGAACGGAUCACUUGAGGCCAGGAGUUUGAAACUAGUCUGGUCAACAUGGUGAAACCCCGUCUCCACUAAAACAAAAAGUUUUCUGGAUGUGGUGGCACACAUACCUGUAAUCCCAGCUACUUUGGUGGCUGAGGCAUGAGAAUCACUUGAACCCAGAAGACAGGUUGCAGUGAGCCAAGAUUGUGCCCCUGCAUUCUAGCCUGGGUGACAGUGAGACUGUCUCAAAAAAUAAAGGUGUACAGGGAUUGUAUAUUUGACAACUUGGUAUGUAGGAUGUGCUACCUCUAAUGUUCCAUGCUGUUACUUAGUUUUCACUCACUACUAUAUUUUGGAGAUUUGUUCAUAUUGCUCUGUGUACAUUUAAUUCUUCAGUGUGUAUCCACCACAUUUAACUUAUUCACUUACAGAACUAUGCAAGAAUUUCUCUGGUAAAUUUCACUAAGUACUUAUGUACUUUUCAGAACGAUUGUGAGUUUACACCCCUACCAGCAGGACUGAGUUGAGUACCCAUUUCCUCACAUCCUUGCCAGUACUUCAUUUGCCUAAUUUUUGCCAUUCUCAUAAUGUGGCAAUUGUUCAAUUUUGCAUUUCUUCCAUUUUAUUUUUUUGCAUCUCUGCUUUUCUUUUGGUUAGCUUUGCCAGUUCUGCCUAUUAUAUUAAUCUCCCAGAAUCAGCUUUUAGUUUUGUUAAAUCUCUGACAUGUUUCGUUGAUUCCUGCUUUCAUCUUAAACAUUUCUUCGUUGUUAAUUUGUGUUUGCUAUAAAAUAAGCAACAUCUUAAAUGCUUGAUUUGCUUUCGAUGUUUAUUCUGUAAUAAGAUAUUUAAAGAUAUAAUUUUUUCCCUAAAUGCUUUAUUAGACUUUUCUCAUAAGUUUUGACUGGUACUGUUUUCAUUGUUAUUUAAUUUUGUGUUUUUUAACUUCUUUCAUGAUUUCCUUUUAACUGAAGGUUUUCUUAGAUAUUUAGUUUGCUGGUAUAUUCUUUUAAAAUUGUAUCAUUGCUUUCUUUCUAUAUUGGAUUAUUGUCAGAGAACAUGAUUUGCAUGAUAUUAACUUUUUGGAGUAUAUUGUUGCAUCUUUGUGGCCUAGUACAUAGUUAAUUUAGUGAAUGCUUCCAGUUGUACUUGAAAAGAAUGUAUAUUUUCUGAUUAUUGAGGGUAAAUUUCUCUAUAUAUGUUUUCCUGUUUAAUAAAUAUGUAGCUAUGUGCU